GGAGUUCAUGGCGGAGCCAGACCACUCAGCUCUUCGGAAUCCAGGAAGUAGCAAGGAAGCAGAAAAGAGGGGGAGGGGAGCUAAGGGUCCUACACUGUCCAUGGAGGCAUGUCUCCAGAGACCCAAAGACUUCCUGAUAGGCCAGCUCUUAAAGGGACCACCUUGCAGUGACAUCACCUUUGAGGGUUUCCAAGACACUCUCAAAGCUUUUGGGAAGCCGCCAUACUGGAGUCAGGUGUCAUGUUUCUACGGUCUCAGUUUGACCUUCCUUGUCUGUGCCUCACAGUCCCCUCUGUCCCCCAUAUUACAUUGCUGUCACAUGGCACUGCUGUUGCUCUUGCUUGCUUGCCAGCGUGUGUUUUUUUACUUCUUUCCAGUGAGCACAUGACAGACACAGCAGGAGCUCAAUAGAGACUUGAACGCAAUGCUUGAAUAAGCAGAAUCCUAAAGGGAAAUCGCUAGAUGCUACAGUGAGCUGAAUAUCAAAGAUGUCCUCAUCUUAAUCUAGGUUAUAGGGGAAAUAAAAUUAGAACUGCGACUACGCUGAAGACAGGAGAUGAUAACGAAUAGCCCAGAUGGUCCCUGUGGGAUCACAUGGAGGUUUAGAAGACGGAAGGAGGAGGCCGAAUGGUGUCAGAGCGGUGGAACCGGAGAGGAACCUGGCAAGCUUUAGGAACAGGAGGCAGACUCUGGAAGCUGUGCUUGCUCUUAAACCUCUCUGCCCGUUCUCCAGCUCCUUGGAAAGCCAGAGUUCAAGAUUUGUUCUGACUCAGCUCUGUCUUCCCCCAAGACCUGAUACAGCUCUCACAUAUAGAUGUGCAGAGAGGGAGCAGCAGAUGCUGGCUUUGAAGCCUAGUUGAGGCAAGAGGAUCGCCAUGAGUUCAAGGCCAACCUCAGCUAUAGCAAAACCUCUGUCUCCAGAAACAACACAACCACCCUGGAUUGCUUUUCUAUUGCUGGUGUUACAAAUUCCCUCAGAUAGUGGCCUGAGACAAGUAUCUUACUUUACAGCUAAAUUUACUGAUAUCGUCUUGAAGUUGGGAGGCUCAGAAGCCUAAAAUGGGUCCCUCUAAACUAAAUCCAAAGACUUCCUUUCAGAAAACUCUAAGGAAGAGUUCACUUCGUCGUUCCUCCCUUUUCCAGCUUCUAGAGAAGGCACGGUGGGAACACUGAGGCUUCAACAGUCCUGUGCCUCUAGACCAGGAAGUGUCUGUCUAUCUGUCCUUAUUCAGUUCCACCCAACUCCUGCUGUGUUUGGAAGUCUUCUCACACACUUCCAGCUCCAUCCCUGAUUCCUGAGGAUCAACACCAUCAUUCAACUCUGCUCUGGCAAGAGAGGAGAGACAGUGUCUGCUGGCCUGGGAUGUGACUCAAGGGAGCAACCCUUGCCUAGCAUGUCUGAGGAGGCAUGCCAUCCACCCACCUCUCACAAGGAGUCAGAGGACCUCCAAAGAAAGACUGUAUUUACAAGGUCCAGACAGGAAGGACAACACCCAGCCUCCCUGACCCCCCCCUCCCUGUCACCAGAGCCACACCUGUGGGCAGUGUAUUUGUCUUGGUCCUUAGUUUUCUCUGACUCAUGAGUCUAACUGAGCUUUCUCUGUCUUUUAACCCAUCUUUUCCGCAGCUAUAGCUUUAGAGGUGACCUGCAAAUCCAGCUAGGUCCUGUCCGUAAUCCCAACCCCGGAGCAUGUGAACAGACUAAAACCCCUGAUGAAGUAACACUGGAUGUGAACGCCUCGUUCUCCAAAGGUUUCUUUCUAAAAUCUGGGAAAUUCUCUCUCCGUCCCUUCUCCUUCUCUCAGUCUCUCUCUGUGUGUCUGACUCUGUCUCUCUGUGUGCCUCUGUCCUUACUUCUCUGUCUCCCCACCCUCGCCUGCUCAGCUUGUUUGAGGGAAAGAAACCACACAAUGGAGGCUUUCCACACUCUACUCGAAAGAGGCCAGAGGUAGAAGCAGAUUCUUGCUGCAGCUCUGGUGCCAACAGCUGGCUUGGCAGAAAUGUUCACAGCCAGGUUUUCAGGUUCCAGUAACCACUAUGAAAAGGCUCUUGCAAACAUCUCCUUCUGAGGCCUCCAGCCAAAAAGAGUGGGGACCUUUGAUCCUGUCCGGAGCCAAAAGGACAGGAGGAUGGAAAGGAGACAGGCCAGGGUGCUGGCUAGGACUUCAGCCGGCUGUGUUUGUCCAGAGUCUCUGCACUGAGCAACUUGCCAGGCCGUCCUGGGCCAGUGCCAUGGUGAGCUGGGUUUCAGAGCAGUUGCCUGCACAUUGGACCACACUGUUGUCAGGGAAGGGUUGGGCUGCUCGAAGAAGCCCAGUGAGAGGCUGGCACCCUCUUCAGGAGCCCCUGCUCUUCUCAUAAGAACGUCUUACCUUGACUUUUGGAUGGAAGCUUCCCCAGAUGGAUGGGAGUUUGUUUUCCUCUCUCCAAACUCCUCUAUUCAUAAACACGAUGUUUGAGGGAAAUCAAGACACCAAGAGGUCUGCUGUGGUGGCCACAGAGUCUCACUCAGAGAGCAGUAGAUGAUGGGUAGCUUUGUCCAAACUGCUUCCCUCACAGGCUCUGGAUAGAACCCAGUCGCACUUCUCCCUUUCCCAUCCCCCAACUCUCUCCUCUCCUCCCUUGGCCUCAGAGUUCACACUGGUGCAGGUAAGUGGACAAGAGGCCUUCGCUGUUUAGGGAUGUUUCUCAUACAGGGCAUUCAGGACCCCUCCCUGUUCACAGAGGGCUGAAGGGAGGCCUGUUUUCUUCACUAAAUUGUCUCAAGAUGAGGGCCCACACUUGUGGCUCGCUGGAGACGAUGCCCUGGAUGCAAACCCACCCACCACACACACACACACACAUUGCUCCAUCCUGACAGAUGCAGAUGUGGAGUCCGUCUGAUCUGAUUAUCCCACUGACCUGUGUUCAGCAACACCUGCUCCUCAGGAGUGGAGCUAAUCCUGUGUACGCAGGCCCUCCCUGACAUCUGGGGAUGGACAGAAGCCAAGAAAACCACGGGCACACUGAUAGAGCCAUCGAAGCUCUCUGUCAGGGGAAGAGUGGUGACCAGCAAGGACAACAGCCUCUUCCCUGGCUCUUUCACAGCUGACCCUGUCCCAACAGCCAAGCUUGGCUGCAGACAUUUGUACCAUGAACAGGUCCCAGCCACUGCCAGAGCUUCCUCAAGGUGUCUCAGGACUGAAGGAUCCUACUGCAAUGCUAACUGGUACAGGCAUUCUGCUGUUUCCAGACACACAGACUCUCCCUGGCACCAUUGGGUCCCACAUGGCUCCACCUGUAGUCACCCACACUUCUGUUCUCCAUCCCACGCCAGCUUGAUACUGGUCAGCGUGGUCUUGAAGCCACUGUUUCUUUGUCCCUCUCUGCUAACUUCUUCUGUUGCCUAUGCCAUACCAGACAGCUCAGGAGCAAAGUGACCUUCUUCAGGCUAGACCUGCCAGUCCCCCAUCCUCAGAGCAAUAGCCUAGCGAAUGGCCAGAAUACCACCCUCUUCUCUGGCCCUGAGGGAGUCUCUGCCCCUGACUGUGCGAGAGAGAUGAGAUUAGGAAGGCAGAGCUAAGAAGAGAGGCGCACAUGGAUCAACAGCUUCUGUAUCCCCAACUCAGGACCAGCUGCCUGGGACAAGCAGCAGGCAGGGACAUGUGACUAGUGUUUACACUAGCGAGGGACACAGGAUCAGUGCCUGUACCGCCCUGCACCAGCCUGCUGCAUCUGCCCUGUGCUGCACAGCCUGACACCUUCCCUGAGUUUGCACCAGCCAGGGACACCUGGUCUAUACCUAUGCCAAUCUGAGACAUUUGUCCUGUGCCUGCAUCAGCUUGUGACACUUGCUCUAUUUCUGUGCCAGCCUAUGACUCUAACCUGCACCUACCCAAGCCUGUGACACCUGCUAUGUGCCUAUACCAGCUUGUGCCCUGAACCUUGCCAGCCUGUAAUACCUGACCUAUAACUGCAAUAGCCUGUGACAGCUGCUCCAUACCUCUUUUAGACUGAGAUACCUGCUCUGUCCCCCUGCCACAGCCUGCGGCACUAUCCUGCACCAGCCCCAUCCUGACAUCUGCUCUGUACCUGUGGCAGUCUGUGAUACCAGCCCUGUGUCUGCAACACCAUGGAACAGUUACCAACAGCUUCGACAUCUUCUGCUGUAUGAAUGCCAGCAGUGACACUUCCUGGGCUCCUGUCCCAGCCUGUGAUGCCUGCCGUGUGCCUAUCAUAGCCCGUGACACUUUCAGUUCACCUGCACUCUCCAGGAAUUCCUGCCCUGUGCUUGGUCCAUACCAUAGCACCUGUCCUGUGUGUGUCCCAGCCUGUGACACUGACAGUGUACCUUUGUCUGGAUGUGACAUCUGCAACAGCCAGUGUUACCAAUGCACAGCCAGAUGAUGCUGGUUAUUUCGAGAAGUUUCCCAGAAUGGAGCUUGAUGCAUAUCACGAUCUUCCAAGGCAAGCUGGGGACGAGGCUUCUGAGUUUCCACUGUUCUUCCCAGCAGACACCCUGACAUGUGCCCAAGCCUCCCCUCCGUGAAGCAUGCUGACGUCACAAACACUCACCUGCCACUCACCCUCUCCCUGUCUGGGCAGCCGUGUGUCUAGUUGCUGUUUCCGCUGUAGGAACUACCUCCUGCACACACCAAAUCCAAGUUCUGUGGGGCUCACUGGCUAUUGGUGGCCCCGUUUUUCCUAUGUGCUGUAUGGUCUAUAUUUGUUGGGUACUAUUCUCUAACACAACCCUCUAGGGAGCUGAGCAGUCCAUCCUCAUCUCCAGACACCAUUCGGUUGUGUGGAUUUUCUCUGGAUGGGAGAGACAAAGGCAGGGUGUUGACAAGUCCUCCCUGUAGCACCACAGGAAGGUCAGACUUAAAUUGCAGGGUUCCCCAGUACACACCCAGAGAAGAAAGAGAAGCAAAGAGUAGAGUUAGCCCGCCCUGUUGUAUGUACAAACUCGUCAUCUGUAGCUACAAUGCCUCACAGCGAUCAAAGGCCAGCUCUGCACUCAGCUGGAAAUCAUGGCUACAUACGGCCCCCACUUCCCUCUGCCAAGUGCCUGCCUUUGAACUUCUCCACCCUUGAGUCCACAAACCCUUCAGGGCCAUUCUUCCUUAUUGUUCCCUUGGUCUUCAAAAGGUGGUGGGGGGGGGGGAAUAGAUCAGAACCACACAGAAACCUCAGCCCAUUUACCUCGCCCUUCUGAGCGGUACCCUUCCCCAUCACUGUCUGUUGGGCUUUACUGCAGAACUGAGGAGUCCUCGCUUCCCAUAUACAUAGCACGGGACCUUGAGCAACUUUCAUAACCUCUUCAAGUCUGAUUUCUAUGUCCCUGAAAUGGGUUUAGAAGUAAUGUGGCUGGAAUUGAGGGCUCUGUUCCUUGAGUGUUCUAUGCUAGAUACAAGGAAGUUAUAUGAUGGGUCUCAGUCAGCUUGGU